rnacentral:rRNA from 1 species
AUUGAACGCUGGCGGCAUGCCUUACACAUGCAAGUCGAACGGUAACGGGCCUUCGGGUGCCGACGAGUGGCGAACGGGUGAGUAAUGUAUCGGAACGUACCUUUCAGUGGGGGAUAACGUAGCGAAAGUUACGCUAAUACCGCAUAUUCUGUGAGCAGGAAAGCAGGGGAUCGCAAGACCUUGCGCUGAUGGAGCGGCCGAUAUCAGAUUAGCUAGUUGGUGAGGUAAAGGCUCACCAAGGCGACGAUCUGGAGCGGGUCUGAGAGGAGGAUCCGCCACACUGGAACUGAGACACGGUCCAGACUCCUACGGGAGGCAGCAGUGGGGAAUUUUGGACAAUGGGGGCAACCCUGAUCCAGCCAUGCCGCGUGAGUGAAGAAGGCCUUCGGGUUGUAAAGCUCUUUCGGCCGGGAAGAAAUCGUAUCAGCUAAUACCUGGUGCGGAUGACGGUACCGGCAUAAGAAGCACCGGCUAACUACGUGCCAGCCGCCGCAGUAAUAC